GUAACAAAGCAAGGUAUGGCUAAAUGAAAACUCAUUCAGCUGAUGCCUGAAAUGGCUAAAAUGGGCUGGCGUCAGUGGUGAAGCCAGCUCGACAAUUUGGCAUGCUAUGCAAAUAUUUCCAUGUUCAUAGACCGUGUCAGAACAAUCAAUUUCUAAAGAAAAGGAUUAAUAAUGAUUUAAAAUUUGCACAGCAUGACCAAAUCGUUGGACUGGCUUCGCCACUGCGGCUGGCGUUCAACUUGACCUGUGUCAGCAAACACCAACAUGGUCUCAGAUCAUCAUUUCCAGUGUGAGGUUUACAUGGAAUGCAGCCUGGCAUAUCAGUCAUUCCGAGGGUGGGGGAAUGGCAAAUUAGGCAGAGGUGUUGACAUUUUCAAAAGAAAUCCACACUCCAGACCCAAUAUACUGCAGAGUUGCGCACUUUCCAAUGAGAUGCUAACUUCAGAUGUGUUCAAAACAAUUCCCAAGUGUGCGUCAAAAGGCAUUCAGUCAAGGGCAUAUAUCCAGUUUGUACUGUACAUGAUGAACAGCAAAAAUUAGAGUUUUAAGGAGCUAGGCAGCUAGCCAUGGCAAUUGGUCAUAAACCUUUAAAUAGGUUAAAUACAAUUCUAAGGGUUUGAAUAAUGCAAAUCAUUAAAAAUUGGCAUAGCGUGACAUGUUGCUAUGGCUAGCUUUGCCACUGAAAAAUUGUUAUUAAAUUAAAGUAUGGCCUAGGUGCACUAAAAUUUCUGCCUAAAAAUACUGAGUACGAUGUUGACCAAGUCUGCAGACAGCUGACCCUAGGGAGAUGUCAUUAUAUUAUGGAGAGUCUCACUGUCGGAACACAAAUAACCUCAAAUGCAUAGAUACCUGCACACAGGGUUCAAGAUUUGCAGUAAUAUCCUGGUACACCUUUAUUUUCUUGAACUGUAAUACAAUGCAGCAUGGACCAGCUGAGAUGUGUUGUAGUAUACUAUAGUAUACUACAGACAGUAUAGUCCUCUCAGGUAUAAAAUUUAUGCCAUUAUCAAUACAAGCCCUGAAAAUGUUAUGAUACCAGUUUCAAAUGUUGGAUACUAGUUCACAUCUAUUCUCUAACCCUGUCUGUAUAUCGAAGCCAAAUUUUGUUUUUAUGUAAUUUAUUUAUUCUUAAUAAUUGAGAAGAUUUAAUCAAUGAGAUAAAAAAUGUCAUAUACUUUAAUUGUUAUUAAACUAAC